AUUGAACGCUGGCGGCAUGCUUUACACAUGCAAGUCGAACGGCAGCACGGGUGCUUGCACCUGGUGGCGAGUGGCGGACGGGUGAGUAAUACAUCGGAACGUGUCCAGAAGAGGGGGAUAACGCAUCGAAAGAUGUGCUAAUACCGCAUAUGCUCUGAGGAGGAAAGUGGGGGAUCGAAAGACCUUACGCUUUUGGAGCGGCCGAUGUCUGAUUAGCUAGUUGGUGGGGUAAGGGCCUACCAAGGCGACGAUCAGUAGUUGGUCUGAGAGGACGACCAGCCACACUGGGACUGAGACACGGCCCAGACUCCUACGGGAGGCAGCAGUGGGGAAUUUUGGACAAUGGGCGCAAGCCUGAUCCAGCAAUGCCGCGUGAGUGAAGAAGGCCUUCGGGUUGUAAAGCUCUUUCAGUCGAGAAGAAAAGGCUGCGGUGAAUAACUGUAGUUUAUGACGGUAUCGACAGAAGAAGCACCGGCUAACUACGUG
rnacentral:rRNA from 1 species